AUUCCACUAUCAUAGUGUCUAGUUUGGCUACUUUAAUGGCCUGAGUAGCUCUAUGGUUACUCACCUCCAGACGCCAUCUCCCGAGUAACCAAAACAGAAUCAGAAGCAGGCAAACCACGCAUGUGGCCGUUUUCCAGCGGUAUUCCAGUAAAGGCAUUUUUCCAUGUUGCAUUGGCCUGCGGAAACCCUGGGCCCCUUCGGUUGGAGGCAGUGAAUGGAUGUACACUGGGGACGGUCGGGAAACUCAAAGUGACAGGCGCCUCCCGCUACGUCUCCCCUGGUCUCCCCCAGACCCAGAUCCCAAGACCCCUCUUGCCUGGGACACUGUGUACAUUUGGGGUCCCUCUGACACCAGUGAUGGAAGUACUGUACGUUUUGCACAAUUUUUGUACAAAGUCACAUUUUGAGGUACUCUGUUUUAAUACUACUUUAUCCUUCAACUCCACUACACUUCAGAGGGAAACUACUUUCUACUCUACUACCUUUCUUGGACAGAUUUAGUUGCUACUUACGAUAAAGAUUUAGAUGAAAAUUGUACACAAUGGAUAAUAUAAAAACCUCUGUUGAAAACAGUGGUUUUCCAAACUUUUUGGCUUCUG
ensembl:lncRNA